UUGUUCUUAACAGCAUGUAAUUCUUCAU
rnacentral:piRNA from 1 species